GAACAUUUUAAAGCAAAUUUGAUUAAGGUUGAAUGCACAAUAAAUAAUUUUUUAUUUUUAUAAUCAUCGUUGUUAUGGUUUGGAGUGCAUAGUCACCACAUGGACGCCAAUCCAAAGUGUCUCUUUUAGAAACCAUAUCACGAGAGUAAGCAACAGAAGAUGAGGAUGGUCGGCAAAUACCAUAAGCUGUCAUCUGUUCAAAUUUUGACUUGUAACAAUGUGUAACAUAAUUAUACAACAUACAGUAUGUUUAACAGAUGCAGUCAACGCAAUAUUUAUGCUAGGUGGAAGUGGCUUUUUCCAUAAUUUUAAAAGAAGAUCUUGACUGGCCAUCUGAAUGCUUCCAAGAAUUGUUGACAUUCCUCUAUAAAGAUCGGGAGGUUCUUGGUCACCCAUAGCGGUACCAGAAAGUAAUGCAUCGAGUCGCUUCUCUUCACUGCUUGAUAGAUGAGUAAUUAGAAUAUUUUUAUCUAGUUCAGGAGGAUUAAAGAUAAAUAUCGUGUACAGUUGAAACAACCUCAAGAGGAAGAUUCGAAACAACAAGAUGGUAUUUCAUCUUAUCUGACGUACUUAGGGUGCUACGCACCAUCUUUGACGGAGUAAGCGAAAACGGACUAGAAGACGAUAUAACUUCAAAUUAUAUCAGGCAUACAACGACAACGACGUGGUUAUGUUAUCAAAAUCAAUUGAGAUGGGUUUGUCAUGUGAUGAGAAUGGAGGAGCCAUGUUGUAGAGAGACAGGAAAGACUGGAAGGAUAUUGUGAGGCAGGCCAGGGUUGUAGGGCCAGAGAAGAAGAAGAUUUGUGGCAUAGUUUGAAUUGCAUCGUAAUAUUUUAAAAGAUUUAUUCCAAUCAUAAAAAUAAUCUAGGAGUGUAGUAUUUAAAGAUUAUGAUAAAAAUAAAUUCAUUAUGUCAAUAUAUAGAGAUAACAUACAUAAAAUGGGUCAUUUUUCGAAUUAAAAAUCGGGGAGAAAUA